CCUUGAUGGCGACCGGCGCGCGGGUGAGUAACGCGUAUGCAACCUGCCCGAUACCGGGGUAUAGCCCAUGGAAACGUGGAUUAACACCCCAUAGUACUUUUAUCCUGCCUGGGAUGGGAGUUAAAUGUUCAAGGUAUCGGAUGGGCAUGCGUCCUAUUAGUUAGUUGGCGGGGUAACAGCCCACCAAGACGAUGAUAGGUAGGGGUUCUGAGAGGAAGGUCCCCCACAUUGGAACUGAGACACGGUCCAA
rnacentral:rRNA from 1 species